rnacentral:lncRNA from 1 species
CAUGUUUAUAACUCUCUUUAAUAGUCAUGCAAUUAAAAACCAAAUCCUCAUCAUUGUGUUGGAAGGUACCCUAAGACACACAUAAACACACAAAAACAACUAUUUUUUUUUGGUUUUUCAAAACAAUUUUUCAAAUUUUUAUGAGAUUUUCGGAUUUUUAUGUCAAAACACACUAAAACACUCCAAAACAACUUAAAAACAUUUAAAAAUAGCAAGGAACAACACUAGGAGUAAUGGGUGAUAAACUCCUACGAAUUUUAUGCAAAACAACUUGGUUACCCCCCCCACACUUAAAUCAAACAUUGUCCUCAAUGUUUCAAGCAUAAACUCACACAAAAACAAGCAAACAAACAAACAACGAAUAAGCAUGACAAGUAUAGUAAAGUAAAAGCCAGACAAAGUAGAGUUUAAGAACGCAAAUCUGGUUUUAGAGAUAGAUGAUCUUGUUGAUUUCCACAGCUUUGAUCUCAAACUGGUUUGGAAUUCUGAGUGAGAGAUAUAAGAGUUCCUUGGUUGUGCAGUCUACAUUCUUCUCUGCUUGUUUCUUUUGCACGGCAGGCAGGCACGAGGUAGAUGUGAUGGUCUGUUUCUUUCUUCAAUCUUUCCAAGUGCCCACCAUUUGCUUUCUUUCUCCUUGUCCCUAGCUAAGGAUGAAUUAGCAAAUUGUCUCCACAUGCUUCGAGGUAUCAUUUU